CGUCGUCAAAAAAACUCAUUGAUGGUUGACUUUUAAAGCAGUGGUUAAAGUAAUGAAUUGAUAGAACAGCAAAGCCCGUAAAGUAAAGGAACUAGAAGUGCGUGGAGCAGCUAAGCACUAUUUAAGCGUGAUAAGACCUACUUUGCAUCUGUGCAUUUGUCCAAAGCCGCAUCGAUUCUAUUGAUUCGUGUAUUUAAGGCAAUAGCUACGAGUUUUUUCUAAUCAAUUGGGCAACACACCGAUAUCACAGUUAAGAUAGACGUAAAACUGAUUGGUUCCAAUCGAACACACGUAAAAAGUAUUUUAGUUAUUUCUUUGGUCAUCUCCAUACACCGUAAUGGCCAAUAUGAAUGAUAAAUUGUGCCAGUUCGUAUUGGAACAAGUUAUAUACGCUUAGAUUAGUUAAUUAGAAUCCAUUGGAUAAGACGCACACGUCUUGUCCAAUGGAUUGCAUUAGCGAUCCAGUGGAGCUAUAGAGAUACUUGCAAGAUGGCUGCUGGUGAGUCAGUAAGGCGCGUACCGUUUGUUAAAAUUAUAACCUGGCAUAUUGUUAGAGCUUAUUUUGCUACGACUUAGUCAUAUCGAUUACGCCAGUUGACCGCGGAACAGAAAGAUAGAAGCUGAAUCGUAUUAAACGUCUCGACAGCGUCAUCAGUUAAGCGACUAUCAAUGAGGAAUCACCAGCCGACGGAUACAUUAACAAUCCAGUCACCGAAAGCGCUUCAGCAUCAACAGCCACUACGAUAUAGGCGAUAUUUUGUGUUAUAUCCAUGUGCUUGCCAUCUUCGAAGGCAAGUCGAUUUUGAUCGGGUCGGCUCCUUCAACCUCGUGAGCGCAGCAGUAGGCGCAUGAGUUUUUUGAAGUUUCGACUCAAUAUUGAAAUUAGAAGCUGGUUUGGCGGGCUACAGGCAGCUAUUUUAUCAUUGCGCCAAUGAUUUUCGUAUACGAUUCUUG